rnacentral:rRNA from 1 species
UACGUAGGGGGCUAGCGUUAUCCGGAUUUAUUGGGUUUAAAGGGUGCGCAGGCGGGAGAUUAAGUCGGCGGUGAAAUUUUGCAGCUCAACUGUAAAAGUGCCUUCGAUACUGGUUUCCUUGAGUGUAGAUGAAGUAGGCGGAAUUUGUGGUGUAGCGGUGAAAUGCAUAGAUAUCACGAGGAACUCCGAUUGCGCAGGCAGCUUACUAAACUACUACUGACGCUCAGGCACGAAGGCGUGGGGAUCAAACAGGAUUAGAUACCCGCGUA